GAUGAACGCUAGCGGCAGGCUUAAUACAUGUAAGUCGAGGGGCAGCACAGUAGCAAUACUGGGUGGCGACCGGCAAACGGGUGCGGAACACGUACGCAACCUUCCUUCAAAUGGGGGAUAGCCCACCGAAAGGUGGAUUAAUACCCCGUGGUAUUAUUGGAUGGCAUCAUUUGAUAAUUAAAGUUCCAACGGUUCAAGAU
rnacentral:rRNA from 1 species